UAACAAAAUAAUUUUGGAUGAGUAUUCAUAUCUUAUCGAUACUCAGAUCAGGAGUGCAAGGUAAUUUUAUUGUUAAUAUUAAUGACCACCGCAUCAAGCAUAUAAUAUAUUCUGUUUUGACGUAAACGUAAAGAGGAAUAGUUUCGCAAAUAUUACAUCGAUCAAAAUCAAUAGCCGUAGACAACGCUUGAAUAAAAUGUAAAUUUUACGAAGGGAUCCAUUUCAUUGUGUUCAUUAAGAAGAAUGAAAAAAAAAAUGAACCAAGGGUUCAAUAAAGCUUAUAACAACGAGUCAAUUAUAUCUUAUACAUUACCCUGAAGAUGUAAAAAUUAUGAUACGCAAGAAAAGACCAGAUUGACACCGACACUAUGUAAAAAGUGGAAUAAAAUAAACCAGAUAAAAAACUUCUCCAUGUAUUUAAAAAAAAUCGUUACUUACAAAGAAA